rnacentral:rRNA from 1 species
UACGAAGGGGGCUAGCGUUGCUCGGAAUCACUGGGCGUAAAGCGCACGUAGGCGGGUUCUUAAGUCGGUGGUGAAAUCCUGGAGCUCAACUCCAGAACUGCCUCCGAUACUGAGAGCCUCGAGUCCGGGAGAGGUGAGUGGAACUGCGAGUGUAGAGGUGAAAUUCGUAGAUAUUCGCAAGAACACCAGUGGCGAAGGCGGCUCACUGGUCCGGUACUGACGCUGAGGUGCGAAAGCGUGGGAGCAAACGGG